rnacentral:rRNA from 1 species
GGGGAAUCUUGCGCAAUGGGCGAAAGCCUGACGCAGCGACGCCGCGUGGGUGAUGAAGGCCUUCGGGUUGUAAAGCCCUGUGGGGAGGGACGAAUAACACAUACCUAAUACGUAUGUAGAUGACGGUACCUCCUUAGCAAGCACCGGCUAACUCUGUGCCAGCAGCCGCGGUAAGACAGAGGGUGCAAACGUUGUUCGGAAUUACUGGGCGUAAAGCGCGUGUAGGCGGCUUGGAUAGUCGGGUGUGAAAGCCCGGGGCUCAACCCCGGAAGUGCAUUCGAUACUGCCAAGCUGGAGUCCCGGAGAGGAUGGUGGAACUCUCGGUGUAGAGGUGAAAUUCGUAGAUAUCGAGAAGAACAUCGGUGGCGAAGGCGGCCAUCUGGACGGUGACUGACGCUGAGACGCGAAAGCGUGGGGAGCAAAC